GCUCUCGUAGCUCAGGGGAUAGAGCAAGGGAUUUCUAAUCCUUUGGUCGGGGGUUCAAAUCCCUCCGAGAGCG
rnacentral:tRNA from 7 species